GCCAAGGUGGCAUAGUGGUUUGAGUGUUGAACUAUAACUUUGGAGACCAGGGUUCAAUUCCCAGAUUGAUCA